rnacentral:tRNA from 1 species
GGGCCGGUAGCUCAAUGGUAGAGCAGUUCCCUUUUAAGGAAUUGGUUGUGGGUUCGAGUCCCUCCCGGCUCAC